rnacentral:rRNA from 1 species
UAACACGUGGGGAACCUGCCCCAUAGUCUGGGAUACCACUUGGAAACAGGUGCUAAUACCGGAUAAGAAAGCGGAUCGCAUGAUCAGCUUUUAAAAGGCGGCGUAAGCUGUCGCUAUGGGAUGGCCCCGCGGUGCAUUAGCUAGUUGGUAAGGUAAAGGCUUACCAAGGCGAUGAUGCAUAGCCGAGUUGAGAGACUUAUCGGCCACAUUGGGACUGAGACACGGCCCAAACUCCUACGGGAGGCAGCAGAU